rnacentral:rRNA from 1 species
UACAGAGGGGGCAAGCGUUGUUCGGAAUUACUGGGCGUAAAGGGCGCGUAGGCGGCCUUCUAAGUCGAACGUGAAAUCCCUGGGCUCAACCCAGGAACUGCGUCCGAUACUGGAAGGCUUGAAUCCGGGAGAGGGAUGCGGAAUUCCAGGUGUAGCGGUGAAAUGCGUAGAUAUCUGGAGGAACACCGGUGGCGAAGGCGGCAUCCUGGACCGGUAGUGACGCUGAGGCGCGAAAGCGUGGGGAUCAAACAGG